rnacentral:rRNA from 1 species
GGGUUGUGAGGUUAAGCGACUAAGCGUACACGGUGGAUGCCCUGGCAGUCAGAGGCGAUGAAGGACGUGCUAAUCUGCGAAAAGCGCCGGCGAGGUGAUAUGAACCUUUGACCCGGCGAUGUCCGAAUGGGGAAACCCAGUGCAAUUCGUUGCACUAUCGUUAACUGAAUACAUAGGUUAACGAGGCGAACCGGGGGAACUGAAACAUCUAAGUACCCCGAGGAAAAGAAAUCAACCGAGAUUCCCCCAGUAGCGGCGAGCGAACGGGGAGCAGCCCAGAGUCUGAAUCAGCUUGUGUGUUAGUGGAAGCGUCUGGAAAGUCGCACGGUACAGGGUGACAGUCCCGUACACGAAAGCACACAGGUUGUGAACUCGAAGAGUAGGGCGGGACACGUGGUAUCCUGUCUGAAUAUGGGGGGACCAUCCUCCAAGGCUAAAUACUCCUGACUGACCGAUAGUGAACCAGUACCGUGAGGGAAAGGCGAAAAGAAC